rnacentral:lncRNA from 1 species
CUGCACAGUUAACAGAUGGGUGGGUUUUCAAAAUCUCAGUGUAUGAAAUCCCAUAAAAGCAAUCAAUCAGAGUAAGCAUAAUUUGGGCCUAAGCCAUUUCGGUAACAAUUAGGGCCUUAGCCCAUUUCAGUAACAGUAACAAUUUGGGCCUAAGCCCAUUUGAGUAACUGUUGCAGUCUGGGCCUAAGCCCAUUUCAGUAACAGUAGCAGCCUGGG